UCUAGAGAACGCUGAUCGCAGCGUCCACAGCCUAUCGGUUGUUUGCGUAGCAGGAACGAGGAUUCAGGAAUCAGGAUUUAGGGAGAUCCGAAGACCCUGAUCCGUAAUCCGCGUCCCCGGAUCCUGAAGCGUUUGCCCAGGGUCUGUAGCUCAGCUGGUUAGAGCACCGUCUUGAUAAGGCGGGGGUCGGUGGUUCGAACCCACCCAGACCCACCAACCAAGAACACGGGGGUGUAGCUCAGUUGGGAGAGCGCCUGCUUUGCAAGCAGGAGGUCAUCGGUUCGAUCCCGUUCACCUCCACCAGGAAAUCCUCAAGAGACCAUAUGAAAGCCCGAAGGCUUCCAUCUGGUCUUUGGACCCCGUAGGUUUUUUUACCGCGGGGUCUUUUGACCGGUAGGCUGUUCGCUCUUUAACAAUUCGGAAGAAGUACGUGCAUCGAUCUCUUCUAGGGUCGAUGCAUGGGUUGUGAUUGCAUUUACAGGUCCUGUCUUAGUCAGACGGGGCUUGUGCACAAGCGCGCGUCCCGAAAGACCGGCCGGCUUCGCCGAGAGGCCGCAAGGUUAUAGGGUCAAGCAAGUAAGUGCAUGUGGUGGAUGCCUUGGCGAUCACAGGCGAUGAAGGACGUAGUAGCUUGCGAAAAGCUGCGGGGAGUCGGCAAACAGGCUUUGAUCCGCAGAUGU
rnacentral:misc_RNA from 2 species